UACGGAGGGUGCGAGCGUUGCUCGGAAUUAUUGGGCGUAAAGCGUACGCAGGCGGCUCGGCAAGUCGCGUGUGAAAUCCCGGGGCUCAACUCCGGAACUGCAUUCGAUACUGCCGGGCUUGAGUGCGGGAGAGGGAAGCGGAAUUCCUGGUGUAGAGGUGAAAUUCGUAGAUAUCAGGAGGGACACCGGUGGCGGAAGCGGCUUCCUGGCCCGACACUGACGCUCAUGUACGAAAGCGUGGGGAGCAAACAGG
rnacentral:rRNA from 1 species